rnacentral:rRNA from 1 species
AUUGAACGCUGGCGGCAGGCCUAACACAUGCAAGUCGAGCGAGCGGCGGACGGGUGAGUACUGUCUGGGAACCUGCCUGAUGGAGGGGGAUCACUACUGGAAACGGUCGCUAAUACCGCAUACCAUCAGAUGUUCCCAGAUGGAAUUAGCUAGUGGGUGGGGUAACGGCUGACCUAGGCGACGAUCCCUAGCUGGUCUGAGAGGAUGACCAGCCACACUGGAACUGAGACACGGGCCAGAAUCCUACGGGAGGCAGCAGUGGGGAAUAUUGCACAAUGGGCGAAAGCCUGAUGCAGCCAGGCCGAGUGUGUGAAGAAGGCCUUCGGGUUGUAAAGCACUUUCAGCGGGGAGGCGUUACCCGCAGAAGAAGCACCGGCUAACUCCGUGCCAGCAGCCGCGGUAAUAC